UACGGAGGGGGUUAGCGUUGUUCGGAAUUACUGGGCGUAAAGCGUACGUAGGCGGAUCAGAAAGUAGGGGGUGAAAUCCCGAGGCUCAACCUCGGAACUGCCUCCUAAACUCCUGGUCUUGAGUUCGAGGAGUGAGUGGUGAAUUCCAAGUGUAGAGGUGAAAUUCGUAGAUAUUUGGAGGAACACCAGUGGCGAAGGCG
rnacentral:rRNA from 1 species